rnacentral:rRNA from 1 species
GUGCCAGCAGCCGCGGUAAUACGUAGGUGGCAAGCGUUACUCGGAAUCACUAGGCGUAAAGCGCAGGUAGGAGGUUUGGUAAGUCUGUUGUGAAAGCUCCCGGCUCAACUGGGAGAGGUCAACGGAAACUACUAGGCUAGAGUGUGGUAGAGGAAGAUGGAAUUCCCGGUGUAGCGGUGAAAUGCGUAGAUAUCGGGAGGAAUACCUAUGGCGAAAGCAGUCUUCUGGACCAUCACUGACUCUGAUCUGCGAAAGCUAGGGGAGCAAACAGGAUUAGAUACCCUCGUAGUCC